CCCCACCCGGCCCCUCCCCUCGGUGCCAAUAAAGUUGGGCAGCUUUGGGUCAAUUUCAGGGCAUUUUGGGUCAAUUUUGGGUCAGUUUUGGGUCCAUUCUGGGCAUUUUUGGGUCAUUCACAACGACUCACGGGUGGGGGAGGGGUCUCGAUCCUUUAUUGCGGGGUGGGGGAGGGGAUUCGGGGGUGGGGGAGGGGCUCAGGGCAGCGGCCCCGCCCCUCCCGGGGGGUCCCUGAAGGCGGGGGGGGGCAGCAGCGGCCCCUCCCCCCCCUCCUCCUCCUCAUCCUCGGCCCCGCCCCACGCGGACACCUGGGGGGGAGGGUCGAGGUCACGGGGGGUCAUGGAGGGGUCACGGGGGGGGUCACAGGAGGGUCACCGCCCCUCCCCUCCCCCACAGAGGUCACACCCCACCCCCUCCCACAAGGCCCCUCCCCCAUUAACCCCCCCCCGGUGCCCCUCCCCCCUCACCGAGUCCCGGGGGGGGGUCCCGGGCCCGGGGGGGCUCCCCAGGACCCUCUGCAGCGCCUCGGCCACGCGGCGGCUCAGGGCGGCUCGCUCCAGCGCCACCGACUGGGCCUGGGACAGAAAGGGCGGGAUUCACCCCAAAAUCCAUCCCAAAAACUGCCCCAAAACGGCCGGAAUUCACCCCGAAAUCCAUCCCAAAACCUGCCCCAAAACGGCCGGAAUUCACCCCAAAAUCAGCCACAAAAACUGCCCCAAAAUAGCUGGAAUUCACCCCGAAAUCCAUCCCAAAAACUGCCCCAAAAUAGCUUGAAUUCACCCCGAAAUCCAUCCCAAAAUCAGCCCCAUAAACAGCGCAGGAUCCCCAAUAUCCACUCCCCAAAAUUCCCCCAGCCCCGCCCCCUCACCAGGCCCCGCCCCUCACCAGGCCCCGCCCCUCACCAGGCUCCUCAUUCGCUCCUCCAGGUUCCGGUUCUGGCGCUGCGAGAGCAGGAACUGGGCCUGGAGCCUGGGGGGACACCGGGAAUGAACUGGGAACAAACUGGGCAAACUGGGAAUGCGGGAACUGGGCCUGGAGCCUGGGGGGACACUGGGAAUGAACUGGGGGGGACUGGGAACCAAACUGGGAACCAAACUGGGCAAAAUGGGAACGAACUGGGGGCGCUGCGAGAGCAGAAACAGGGCCUGGAGCCUGGGGAGAGACAAACUGGGAGCACUGGGAACAAACUGGGAGUGCCGGGAUGGCCCCAGGUGGGAACACCCAAUGCCCCACCCCUCCUCCCCUGUCCGUCUGUCCGUCCCUCACCUGUCCGUCCCUCUGUCUCACCUGUCCAUGCGCUCCCGCAGCGCCUCCAGCUCCGCCCGAUCCGGGGGGGGUCUGGGGGGAAAGAGGGACCCAAAAACUGA
rnacentral:lncRNA from 1 species